rfam:Kluyvera ascorbata ATCC 33433 GKAS.assembly.036, whole genome shotgun sequence.
GGGUGCUUGAGACUGUUUGUCUUGAGCAAGAUGUGAAAGGCAGAUAGACAAAAGCCCCAGAUAACAUUCUGCGUCCGGCAAGACGCUUAACAUUAAUCUGAGGCCCCUAAAUACCAACCAGUAUUAGGUUAGCCUCUUACCGACCUUAGGGUCAAGGAGAAGUAGCCUAUG